AGAGUUUGAUCCUGGCUCAGGAUGAACGCUAGCGGCAGGCUUAACACAUGCAAGUCGAGGGGCAGCGCGGGUAGCAAUACCUGGCGGCGACCGGCGAAAGGGUGAGUAACGCGUGAGCAACGUGCCCGUAUGUGGGGGAUAGUCGAUGGAAACGUCGCGUAAUACCCCGUAACACAAGGGACCGCAUGAUUCCUUGUUGAAAGAUUUAUUGCAUACGGAUCGGCUCGCGUGCCAUUAGGUAGACGGCGGGGUAACGGCCCACCGUGCCGACGAUGGCUAGGGGUUCUGAGAGGAAGGUCCCCCACAUUGGAACUGAGACACGGUCCAGACUCCUACGGGAGGCAGCAGUGAGGAAUAUUGGACAAUGGCCGGAAGGCUGAUCCAGCCAUGCCGCGUGCGGGAGGACGGCCCUAUGGGUUGUAAACCACUUUUGCGAGGGAGCAAUAAGGUCCACGUGUGGGCCGAUGAGAGUACCUCGCGAAUAAGCAUCGGCUAACUCCGUGCCAGCAGCCGCGGUAAUACGGAGGAUGCAAGCGUUAUCCGGAUUUAUUGGGUUUAAAGGGUGCGUAGGCGGUUUGCUAAGCGGGAGGUGAAAUGCCGGCGCUCAACGUCGGAAGUGCCUCCCGAACUGGUGGACUGGAAUGACUCUGCCGUGGGAGGAAUGUGUAGUGUAGCGGUGAAAUGCUUAGAGAUUACACAGAACACCGAUUGCGAAGGCAUCUCACGAAGGGUUGAUUGACGCUGAGGCACGAAAGCGUGGGGAUCAAACAGGAUUAGAUACCCUGGUAGUCCACGCAGUAAACGAUGAUGGCUAACCGCUGGGCUGUUCAGUUCAGUGGCCAAGCGAAAGCGAUAAGCCAUCCACCUGGGGAGUACGACCGCAAGGUUGAAACUCAAAGGAAUUGACGGGGGCCCGCACAAGCGGAGGAACAUGUGGUUUAAUUCGAUGAUACGCGAGGAACCUUACCCGGGCUCGAACGGCUGGUGAACGAUGCAGAGAUGCAAAGGUCCUUCGGGACGCCAGUCGAGGUGCUGCAUGGUUGUCGUCAGCUCGUGCCGUGAGGUGUCGGCUCAAGUGCCAUAACGAGCGCAACCCUUGCCGUCAGUUACCAUCAAGUAAUGUUGGGGACUCUGGCGGGACUGCCACCGCAAGGUGUGAGGAAGGGGGGGAUGACGUCAAAUCAUCAUGCCCCUUACGGUCUGGGCUACACACGUGCUACAAUGGCGGUCACAAAGGGAAGCGAACCUGCGAGGGAGAGCAAAUCCCAAAAAAGCCGUCCCAGUUCGGAUUGUAGUCUGCAACUCGACUGCAUGAAGCUGGAAUCGCUAGUAAUCGCGAAUCAGAAUGUCGCGGUGAAUACGUUCCCGGGUCUUGUACACACCGCCCGUCACGCCAUGGGAGUUGGAUAUGCCCGAAGUCAGUGACCCAACUUUAAGAGGGAGCUGCCGAAGAUGGAGCCAAUGACUGGGGUGAAGUCGUAACAAGGUAACC
rnacentral:rRNA from 1 species